rnacentral:rRNA from 1 species
GAUGAACGCUGGCGGCGUGCCUAAUACAUGCAAGUCGAGCGAAUGGAUUAAGAGCUUGCUCUUAUGAAGUUAGCGGCGGACGGGUGAGUAACACGUGGGUAACCUGCCCAUAAGACUGGGAUAACUCCGGGAAACCGGGGCUAAUACCGGAUAACAUUUUGAACCGCAUGGUUCGAAAUUGAAAGGCGGCUACGGCUGUCACUUAUGGAUGGACCCGCGUCGCAUUAGCUAGUUGGUGAGGUAACGGCUCACCAAGGCAACGAUGCGUAGCCGACCUGAGAGGGUGAUCGGCCACACUGGGACUGAGACACGGCCCAGACUCCUACGGGGGGAAGCAGUAGGGAAUCUUCCGCAAUGGACGAAAGUCUGACGGAGCAACGCCGCGUGAGUGAUGAAGGCUUUCGGGUCGUAAAACUCUGUUGUUAGGGAAGAACAAGUGCUAGUUGAAUAAGCUGGCACCUUGACGGUACCUAACCAGAAAGCCACGGCUAACUACGUGCCAGCCGCCGCGGUAA